GUGGACUUCAACCAUGCUUGUCUUAGAGAUGUAUUCUUCUCACGUGCAAACCUACAGUGUGCCAAGUUCCGGAAUGUGGAUGCUGAGGGUGCGAUCUUUCAUAAUGCAAUUUUGCAAGAAUGUGAAUUUACAGGGGCCAAUCUUCGCGGAGCUUUAUUAGCUGGUGCUAAUCUUAAGAGUGCAAACCUACAAGGCAAACUCUCUACACUCUGAUAAUCAUUAAGUAACUGUCAUUAGACACAUCAUCUUGAUCUUAAACAAAGUUUCGUUUCUUAUCAAAA